rnacentral:rRNA from 1 species
AGUGGAUGGGGAGCAACCUGGUUGUGCGUGUGUAAAGGUAGUGCCAAGAAAAGCGAUGAUCAUGUUGAAAAUCAAUUCCCGGUACCCGAAACCGACACAGGUGGGCAAGUAGAGAAUACUAAGGGGCGCGAGGUAACUCUCUCCAAGGAACUCGGCAAAAUGACCCCGUAACUUAGGGAGAAGGGGUGCCACCGAGAGGUGGUCGCAGUGAAGAGGCCCAGGCGACUGUUUAGCAAAAACAUAGGUCUCUGCAAACUCGAAAGAGGAGGUAUAGGGGCUGACGCCUGCCCAGUGCCGGAAGGUUAAAGAAGUUGGUCAGUCUUAGGAUGAAGCUAGCGACUGAAGCCCCGGUGAACGGCGGCCGUAACUAUAACGGUCCUAAGGUAGCGAAAUUCCUUGUCGGGUAAGUUCCGACCCGCACGAAAGGCGUAACGAUCUGGGCGCUGUCUCGGAGAGAGGCUCGGCGAAAUAGGAUUGUCUGUGAAGAUACGGACUACCUGCAUUUGGACAGAAAGACCCUAUGAAGCUUUACUAUAGCUUGGAAUUGUGUUCGGGCUUCCUGUGCGCAGGAUAGGUGGGAGGCGUAGAAGGUAUUCUUGUGGGGAUACUGGAGCCAACGGUGAGAUACCACUCUCAGGAGGCUAGAAUUCUAACUUAAUUAAGGACAGUUUCAGGUGGGUAGUUUGACUGGGGCGGUCGCCUCCAAAAAGGUAACGGAGGCGUACAAAGGUUCCCUCAGACUGGUUGGAAAUCAGUCGAAGAGUGCAAAGGCAGAAGGGAGCUUGACUGCGAGAAGUACAGUUCGAGCAGGGUGGAAACACGGUCUUAGUGAUCCGACGGUGCUGUGUGGAAGGGCCGUCGUUCAACGGAUAAAAGUUACUCUAGGAUAACAGGCUGAUCUCCCCCAAGAGUUCACAUCGACGGGGAGGUUUGGCACCUCGAUGUCGGCUCAUCGCAACCUGGGGCGGAAGUACGUCCCAAGGGUUGGGCUGUUCGCCCAUUAAAGCGGUACGUGAGCUGGGUUCAGAACGUCGUGAGACAGUUCGGUCCAUAUCCGAUGUAGGCGUGAGAAUAUUGAGAGGAGCCUUCCUUAGUACGAGAGGACCGGGAAGGACGCACCUCUGGUGUACCUGUUAUGAUGCCAAUUGUAAACGCAGGGUAGCCAAGUGCGGAGAGGAUAACCGCUGAAAGCAUCUAAGUGGGAAGCCCACCUCAAGAUGAGUAUUCUGGUGUAAGGUCACGGGAAGACGACCCGUAAAUAGGCACGAGGUGGAAGUGCAGAGAUGUAUGAAGCCGAAGUGUACUAAUAGACCGUCGGCUUGAC